rnacentral:rRNA from 1 species
GCGGCGAACGGGUGAGUAACACGUGAGCAACCUACCCUCAACUUCGGGAUAAGCCUCGGAAACGGGGUCUAAUACCGGAUAUCACUUCCUGCUUCAUGGUGGGGGGUUGAAAGUUCUGGCGGUUGGGGAUGGGCUCGCGGCCUAUCAGCUUGUUGGUGGGGUAAUGGCCUACCAAGGCGUCGACGGGUAGCCGGCCUGAGAGGGCGACCGGCCACACUGGGACUGAGACACGGCCCAGACUCCUACGGGAGGCAGCAGUGGGGAAUAUUGCGCAAUGGACGAAAGUCUGACGCAGCAACGCCGCGUGAGGGAUGACGGCCUUCGGGUUGUAAACCUCUUUCAGCAGGGACGAAGCGAGAGUGACGGUACCUGCAGAAGAAGGACCGGCCAACUACGUGCCAGCAGCCGCGGUAAUACGUAGGGUCCGAGCGUUGUCCGGAAUUAUUGGGCGUAAAGGGCUCGUAGGCGGUUCGUCACGUCGGGAGUGAAAACUCGGAGCUUAACUCCGAGCCUGCUUCCGAUACGGGCAGACUAGAGGUAGGCAGGGGAGAGCGGAACUCCUGGUGUAGCGGUGGAAUGCGCAGAUAUCAGGAAGAACACCGGUGGCGAAGGCGGCUCUCUGGGCCUUACCUGACGCUGAG